rnacentral:rRNA from 1 species
AUUGAACGCUGGCGGCAGGCCUAACACAUGCAAGUCGAACGGUAGCACAGGAGAGCUUGCUCUCUGGGUGACGAGUGGCGGACGGGUGAGUAAGGCAUGGGGAGCUGCCCAAUCGAGGGGGAUACCAGCUGGAAACGGCUGCUAAUACCGCAUACGCCCUGAGGGGGAAAGGUGGGGACCUUCGGGCCUACCGCGAUUGGAUGCACCCAUGUGGGAUUAGCUGGUUGGUGAGGUAACGGCUCACCAAGGCGACGAUCUCUAGCUGGUCUGAGAGGAUGACCAGCAACACUGGAACAGAGACACGGUCCAGACUCCUACGGGAGGCAGCAGUGGGGAAUAUUGCACAAUGGGGGAAACCCUGAUGCAGCCAUGCCGCGUGUGUGAAGAAGGCCUUCGGGUUGUAAAGCACUUUCAGUGGGGAGGAAGGGGCGAUGCCUAAUACGCAUUGUCAUUGACGUUACCCACAGAAGAAGCACCGGCUAACUCCGUGCCAGCCGCCGCCGUAA